rnacentral:rRNA from 1 species
AUUGCCUCAGUAACGGCGAGUGAAGCGGCAACAGCUCAAAUUUGAAAUCUGGCUCUCUCAGGGUCCGAGUUGUAAUUUGUAGAGGGUGCUUCGGGUGAGGCGCCGGCCUAAGUUCCUUGGAACAGGACGUCCGAGAGGGUGAGAAUCCCGUACGCGGCCGGUGACCGAUCCCAUGUGAAGCCCCUUCGACGAGUCGAGUUGUUUGGGAAUGCAGCUCUAAAUGGGUGGUAAAUUUCAUCUAAAGCUAAAUACCGGCCAGAGACCGAUAGCGCACAAGUAGAGUGAUCGAAAGAUGAAAAGCACUUUGGAAAGAGAGUUAAAAAGUACGUGAAAUUGUUGAAAGGGAAGCGCUUGCCACCAGACCUGCCCUCGGGUGAUCAGCCGCCGUUCUCGGCGGUGCACUCGCUCGUCGCAGGCCAGCAUCGGUUCGGGCGGCUGGAUAAAGGCCCCGGGAAUGUAGCUCCCCUCGGGGAGUGUUAUAGCCCAGGGUGUAAUGCGGUCAGCCUGGACCGAGGACCGCGCUUUUGCUAGGAUGCUGGCGUAAUGGUUGCAAGCGGCCCGUCUUGAAACACGGACCAAGGAGUCUAACAUCUAUGCGAGUGUUUGGGUGUCAAACCCAUGCGCGGAAUGAAAGUGAACGGAGGUGAGAACCCUGAAGGGCGCAUCAUCGACCGAUCCAGAUGUCUUCGGAUGGAUUUGAGUAAGAGCAUAGCUGUUGGGACCCGAAAGAUGGUGAACUAUGCCUGAAUAGGGUGAAGCCAGAGGAAACUCUGGUGGAGGCUCGCAGCGGUUCUGACGUGCAAAUCGAUCGUCAAAUUUGGGUAUAGGGGCGAAAGACU